GUCUACAGCCAGACCACCCUCAACACGCUCUAUCUCAUCUGAUCUCGAAAGCUAAGCAGGGUAGGGCCAGGUUAGUACUCGGAUGGGAAAAAUGUCUUCUCAGGUU
rnacentral:rRNA from 1 species